rnacentral:rRNA from 1 species
GGGACGAACGCUGGCGGCGUGCUUAACACAUGCAAGUCGAGCGGAAAGGCCCUUCGGGGUACUCGAGCGGCGAACGGGUGAGUAACACGUGGGCAAUCUGCCCCUCGCUCUGGGAUAACUCCGGGAAACCGGGGCUAAUACCGGAUAUGACCUUCUUAGGCAUCUUUGAAGGUGGAAAGUUUUUCGGCGAGGGAUGAGCCCGCGGCCUAUCAGCUUGUUGGUGGGGUAAUGGCCUACCAAGGCAGUGACGGGUAG